rnacentral:snRNA from 2 species
AAAUCAUAUCACUAUUCUUAUCAGUUUAAUAUCUGAUGUGUCCUCUAUUUGGGCAUAAUAUAUAAAAUAAAUUUUUGGAGAAGGGAGAUACAAUAGGAGCUUGUUUCAUCCACUCUAUGCAUUAACCUGGUAUUGCAGUACCUCCAGGAAUGGUGCAACUUCC